UGUCCCGUGGCGGGGGCGGUGGCAGCGCCCGCUGCUGCCGCUGAUCUUUGGGGGAUUCCUGCUCGGGGUUGGGCGUGAGGCCGAGGCCGCCCCGGCGGGGGUGUGGCGGUCGGGAGCGGCGGGGCCGGGUCCCGGAGCGAUGGCGUGAGCGAACAACAACACGAACAAACAAAUAAACCAAACACACAUGUUUUACUUUCUUCUUUCUUGGAAUUCUGGCUCCCCGGUACCGAAGUGCGCUGACGGGGAAUGUGCGCUGAGGGGGAAUGUGCGGUGGGAAGAUAAACUCGGCCUUAUCUACAGUCGGCUGGGAGGCUGGGUGGGAGAGACUGAUAAGGAGCUACAGCUGUAUAAAGGCAGAAAGAAGUAAGAAGUCAGGGUGCUAGGGAGCGAAACAAUAUGGAGGUGGUGAUCCUGAGGCUGGAAGGUGUAGAGAACAGUGAGGCUUGCUCUGUCGACCAGAGGAGUUAAGUGGCAGGGUGAUGACAACAACAGAACAUGCGCAGCUCUCAAAGCUUAUUAAAUAAAUACAUAAAAUGA